UGAGGAAUAUUGCACAAUGGGCGCAAGCCUGAUGCAGCGACGCCGCGUGGGUGAUGAAGGUCUUCGGAUCGUAAAGCCCUUUUUCUGCGUGACGAGACAGGACGGUAGCGCAGGAAUAAGUCUCGGCUAACUACGUGCCAGCAGCCGCGGUAAAACGUAGGAGACAAACGUUAUCCGGAGUUACUGGGCGUAAAGGGCGUGUAGGCGGUAUGUUAAGUCUGGCGUGAAAGCUCUCGGCUAAACCGGGAGAGGUCGUUGGAUACUGGCAAACUAGAGGAUGGUAGAGGCGUGUGGAAUUCCGGGUGUAGUGGUGAAAUGCGUAGAGAUCCGGAGGAACACCAGUGGCGAAGGCGACACGCUGGGCCAUACCUGACGCUAAAGCGCGACAGCAUGGGGAGCAAACGGGAUUAGAUACCCACGUAGUCCCUGAGCGGGCUGGCAAGGCGCAU
rnacentral:rRNA from 1 species